UACAGUAACCAUAUCUAACCAAGCUUCAUGUACCAAGAUAAUUAUUUCAUUUAUUUCUCAUCAGAUCAACUGUUCAUUUAUGCAGUUUAUGCUUUAUUUAUAGGUAGCAUAACUGUUACCUUUUUUUUACAGUUCUGCAUAUAUAAUAUGACAAACCUAGGAGACUUUGCUGUAAGAGAAUUAAUCAUGUUUUUGUUUUCUUUUCUCAGGUCCGGUCAGUACCCACCACCCUUCCCUGUUCACCCACAGUUUAUACUUUUUCUUAGAAAACCAACGGCUCUUUUAAGAGCCACUUCAAUAGACCCUUUUACAGCCCACGUGAUCAAAUAGCCUGCGUGCGCAUUUUGGCAACGGAAGUGAUGUUAUUUCCCAGUGGUUCUAACGUGUAAGCAACUCAGAAAGUUUAUUAAAACGAUUUCCCCACAUCAAAACGUCUGGUUGUAGCAUUUGGUUGCACUAAUAUAAUAUAUGUUUAGUAUUUGGCCAUCUUCUAACGUCUUCUAUCCACUCCACUAUAGUACACGGAUCUGGUAACUGUGUAGAAGAUAAGUCAACUUUUUAAACUAACUUUCUCUGUCUGUGUUGCUUCACUGCUGAUUCUUGCCGUGCUUCCGUUGCCAAACUGCGUGCGCAUACGUUGCCACGUCAUCAUUGUGUACAAACAGUAAAAGGGUCACUCACUCACUCACUCACUUCACUCACUCUUUCGCAAGCUUCUCUGUUUUCAAGUAUUGUAAUUUUAUUCAUUUUACUCUCUCUCUCACUGUCCAAAACACUUAGCCUAUGCCUCUUUGUCUGACCAAUGUAGUAUUGUUGAAAUGGCUGCUGAGCAAGACAGAGGGAGAGCAAAGGAUGUUAUUUUCAUAGCAGACAUGCUUCUUGCUCAAAUCAAGGCAGAGGAACCCAAGGGCAAAGCAACAGCCAUUAAAGGGAGUACAUUUAAUGUCCGAUAGGUGGAGAAAAUGCUGAAGGACGUCCACUACUAAAAAGCAGCAGAAGUGAAGAGAUACAAAGCUUCAGCUACAGUCUGUUUAUUGCCUACAGUGAGACCUCCACAUUUCUGCACUUGUGAUCAUGCAAACAUCCAGUGUAGAGCACUUCACCUGCCCGGCAUGUACACCCAACAAUGCUCGCUCUUUGUGCAGAUGGCAACAGAAAAACCUACAGAUUCCUUCAGUCAAAAGAAAGGAGCUUCAAGCAGCCACAAACGGAGAGUUCUUUUGAACAGAUAUUGCUUGCAAGUAUUGGCCAUACCUUGAGAAGGCGUCAGUCUCCAUGUUGGAACUCAGACCUUUACUGCAGAUGAGACCUUUCCUUUCUGUCAUGCAUGCCAAGGCUCAUUCAACCA